rnacentral:rRNA from 1 species
AUUGAACGCUGGCGGCAGGCCUAACACAUGCAAGUCGAGCGGAAGCAGGGAGCUUGCUCCUGGCUUCAGCGGCGGACGGGUGAGUAAUGCCUAGGAAUCUGCCGGGGAGGGGGGGAUAACGUCCGGAAACGGGCGCUAAUACCGCAUACGUCCUGAGGGAGAAAGGGGGGGAGCUUCGGACCUCACGCUCUCAGAUGAGCCUAGGUCGGAUUAGCUAGUUGGUGGGGUAAAGGCCUACCAAGGCGACGAUCCGUAACUGGUCUGAGAGGACGAACAGUCACACUGGAACUGAGACACGGUCCAGACUCCUACGGGAGGCAGCAGUGGGGAAUAUUGGACAAUGGGCGCAAGCCUGAUCCAGCCAUGCCGCGUGUGUGAAGAAGGUCUUCGGAUUGUAAAGCGCUUUUAUUCGGGAGGAAGGGCAUUUAGUUAAUACCUGGCUGUAUUGACGGUACCAAAAGAAUAAGCACCGGCUAACUUCGUG